rnacentral:lncRNA from 1 species
GAGGAGAGGAGAGGAGAGGAGAGGAGAGGAGAGGAGAGGAGAGGAGAGCCCUGGCCUGAGGACUGGCCUUGGGCCUUGAGGCACACAGCCCUCAGCAACACCAGCCUACGAUGAGAAGAGGCUGAGCCAAAACCAGUUUCUGUUUUGGCUAUGGUCAAAUGAAACGGAAGCCCCUGGCGUCUCAGAAGCUCUCUCUGGCUAAUCCCCUUGACUAAGAGGACACAUUUCGGGUAACGUGUGUCCUCUCUCUCCUGGCUGGAGGAGAUUCCACAGGAAGCCAUGAUGUGACCCAGCAGUGAGCCAUGAGCCUGAUCUGGCCUGACCUGGCCUGGUUGAACCUCCUCCGACUUGGAGGAACACUGUGACCCGUCACACAGACAGGAGAUUAGUAUCCAGGCCAGAAUAUGGGGCUGGUCUGCUCCAAGCCAGGAGACUGCAUUAGGCCAUGUCUGGGAGGAUGGCAGCUG